GGUUUACCUUUUACGGCGAACGAAUCUACGAGUGCGCGAAAGCUGAAAGAGCCUGAAAACCUUGACGGGGGAAAAUCUAGAGACGAAUCACACGACGAACCCAACUCUCAUUCCGAAACUCAGAAACCCCUUUUUAAUAAAUAAAUAAAUAAAUAAAUAAAUAAACACGACAAUAUGGAAUCGGAGCUAAAGGACAUGAAUUCGAAUCCACCGUCGUCGUCGUCGUCGUCGAGCAGCAAAGAGGAACGCCCCCUGCUCAAAUCAGAAUCCGACGUGUCCGCCGCCAUCGAAGAGCUCGACAAAAAGUUCGCGCCUUUCGCGAGGACGGACUCGUACGGGACGAUGGGUCUGGGUCCUUUUCCGACGGCGGAGAAGGUGAAGCUCGCGGCGGCGAUGGUGACGCUCGUUCCGGUGCGGUUCGUUCUGGCGAUGAGCAUCUUGCUUCUGUAUUACUUGGUGUGCAGGGUGUUCACGCUGUUCUCGGCUCCGUAUCGUGGAGGAGAGGAGGAGGAGGAGGAGGAAGAAGAAGAGGGUGGAGGAGGGGUUGUUCAGGAGGAUUAUGCUCACAUGGGAGGGUGGAGAAGGGUUGUGAUCGUGCGGUGUGGGAGGUUUCUCUCUAGAGUUUUGCUUUUUGUGUUUGGGUUUUAUUGGAUCCCUGAGAGCUCUCUGGAUCGAGUUGAUUCUGAUCUCAAAACAACUUCUUCUGAGAUUGCAGAGAAUGGUGAAACCGAGAAGGAGGAACCUGAAAGGCCUGGUGUCAUUGUGUCUAAUCACGUUUCGUACCUUGACAUUUUGUAUCAUAUGUCUGCUUCUUUCCCAAGUUUUGUCGCCAAGAGAUCAGUGGGCAAACUUCCUCUUGUUGGCCUUAUCAGCAAAUGUCUUGGUUGUGUCUUUGUUCAGCGAGAAGCAAAAUCUCCUGAUUUCAAGGGUGUAUCUGGCACAGUAAACGAAAGAGUUCGAGAAGCUCAUAGGAAUAAAUCUGCUCCAACUAUUAUGCUUUUUCCAGAAGGAACAACUACCAAUGGAGACUACUUGCUUCAAUUCAAGACAGGUGCAUUUCUGGCAGGAACUCCUGUUCUUCCUGUUAUUUUAAAAUAUCCAUACGAGCGUUUCAGCGUGGCAUGGGAUACAAUCUCCGGAGCACGCCACAUUAUCUUCCUUCUCUGUCAAUUCGUAAACCACCUGGAGGUGAUACGGUUACCUGUAUACUACCCUUCACAAGAAGAGAAAGACAAUCCCAAACUCUAUGCUAGCAAUGUCCGGAGAUUAAUGGCCACCAAGGGUAACCUGAUUCUAUCGGACUUAGGACUUGGAGACAAGAGGAUAUAUCACGCGACCCUCAAUGAAUAAAGAAGCUGUGGCUGGGAUGGGAAUGUAAAAUCUGAAGCAAUGUCUUUCGUGUUGGUGCAGGCAACUUGUAGACACACACACACACACACACUUAGACAGGUUCUUCAUCCUCCCAACAACUUGCAGAGAACUUGACUCAGAAUAUAUAGUGUUCUUGAUUCUUUAUUUGUUGCAACAGGAGGAAACAACAACAGUAGCUUAACCAGAUAAUAGAUGGUGGUUAGAGCUUCUUUCCUCCCUUUUACUUAAUGGACAAACGAAUAAAAAAACAGAGCGGAGCUAUUAUAGGUAGACGGGGGGACGUACAUACUAGCUAGGGUUCUUCUGCUACUUCUUCUUCUUCAUCUUGAUGUAUCAUGUUGACAAGCAUAUCGACUUGCUCUUUCAACAUUGUAUUCUCUCUUUCUAUCUCUGUUCUCUUGCUUCUCUCUUGUAGCAGCUGAAGUUGCAGAUGCUCUAAGCAACGUGAGUCCUCUUCUAGCUGCUCGUUUAACCCA